UACGGGGGGGGCAAGCGUUGUUCGGAAUUACUGGGCGUAAAGGGCUCGUAGGUGGCCAACUAAGUCAGACGUGAAAUCCCUCGGCUUAACCGGGGAACUGCGUCUGAUACUGGAUGGCUUGAGUUUGGGAGAGGGAUGCGGAAUUCCAGGUGUAGCGGUGAAAUGCGUAGAUAUCAGGAGGAACACCUGUGGUGUAGACAGCUUACUGGACCAUCACUGACGCUGAGGCACGAAAGCGUGGGUAGCAAACAGG
rnacentral:rRNA from 1 species